rnacentral:rRNA from 1 species
GACGAACGCUGGCGGCGUGCUUAACACAUGCAAGUCGAACGGAAAGGCCCUGCUUUUGUGGGGUGCUCGAGUGGCGAACGGGUGAGUAACACGUGAGUAACCUGCCCUUGACUUUGGGAUAACUUCAGGAAACUCGGGCUAAUACCGGAUAGGAUCUCCUGCUGCGUGGUGGGGGUUGGAAAGUUUCGGCCGUUGGGGAUGGACUCGCGGCUUAUCAGCUUGUUGGUGGGGUAGUGGCUUACCAAGGCUUUGACGGGUAGCCGGCCUGAGAGGUGUAACGGCGACAUUGGGACUGAGAUACGGCCCAGACUCCUACGGGAGGCAGCAGUGGGGAAUAUGGCACAAUGGGCGGAAGCCUGAUGCAGCAACGCCGCGUGCGGGAUGACGGCCUUCGGGUUGUAAACCGCUUUCGCCUGUGACGAAGCGUGAGUGACGGUAAUGGGUAAAGAAGCAACGGCUAACUACGUG